GACGAACGCUGGCGGCGUGCUUAACACAUGCCAGUCGAACGGAAAGGCCCUGCUUUUGUGGGGUGCUCGAGUGGCGAACGGGUGAGUAACACGUGAGUAACCUGCCCUUGACUUUGGGAUAACUUCAGGAAACUGGGGCUAAUACCGGAUAGGAGCUCCUGCUGCAUGGUGGGGGUUGGAAAGUUUCGGCGGUUGGGGAUGGACUCGCGGCUUAUCAGCUUGUUGGUGGGGUAGUGGCUUACCAAGGCUUUGACGGGUAGCCGGCCUGAGAGGGUGACCGGCCACAUUGGGACUGAGAUACGGCCCAGACUCCUACGGGAGGCAGCAGUGGGGAAUAUUGCACAAUGGGCGGAAGCCUGAUGCAGCAACGCCGCGUGCGGGAUGACAGCCUUCGGGUUGUAAACCGCUUUCGCCUGUGACGAAGCGUGAGUGGCGGUAAUGGGUAAAGAAGCACCGGCUAACUACGUG
rnacentral:rRNA from 1 species